GCCAUCGUAAACCCAUCGACGCGGCUGCCCCAUCGUGCCAUCGACGCCACACUCCCCUCGCGCGGAGCUGCCUCCGCCCGUCAUCCGGAGUGUCGCGCGGAGGGAGGGGAUGCCGCGUCGUCCUAGAUCCUGUCGACGCCGCCCUCACGUAGCACGGAGCCGCCGCCAUCCAUCGACCCAUCGCGCGAACACGCCGCCGCCGCCGCCAUCCAUCGUCCCAUCGCGCGAACACGCCGGAUCCGCUGCCGUUCGUCGUCCCCAUCGCGCGAACAUGCCGAGCAGAGGGCUCGACCGUCGACCGGCUGCGCCGUCCCCUACCCCCUAUCUUUUCCCCAACGAGGUGAAUCUGCUAUCUUGCUUCCUGGCUCCAUUUUGAGUCUUCAAUCUGCAGCAUUUCUCGACGUCAAUGGACCCUCACCAAUGAAUCCCUCCUCGGCAAGUUCCGUCCGACCUUUCUUGAUCUCUGGAGGGUUCUUACAGGUACCCACGUAAGAAACCAUGGCUUGCCUGUGUGCGUGUGUGCAGGCACCCACAAAGCCAUGGCUGCCAUGAAGGAUUCAGAACUCGGAGGCAAAUCAGGUAUCCAGGUUGGUCACGGCAAGGGCAUGGCAAGGGGAGGAAAGGGAAAAAAAAUGGAGAGGAAGAAAAUAUCAUGAUCUAUACUAAACCAAAAUAAUUUGUCAUUUAAGGUUGGCUUAGGAUGGAAAAUUAGGGGUAAUUUGAUCUAAAAUUCUUUCUAUUCACAAGGAUAGCUGCAAUACAGUAUUUUAAGACAGCAGUUCUGAUGGAUUUUUGGUCAAACAGUUUCAUGGUAUUACAUGGUAUACUAAUACUCUGAUUUGGUAGAAUAGUAUGUAUAGUAGUAGAGAUUUUGAUAUGAUCUAGGGCAUGACUUGACAAUUAUUGUGAAUAUUUCAUAGUUUGUUGUAAAACAUUUUCUAUUCGACUAUUGGAGGACAUUGCAAUAAGUCACUUGGUUUUUUGUCUUUCACGGGGCUCUAGAGAUAUGAAAUAGUGAAGCUGGUCAAAUGAUGAAA
rnacentral:lncRNA from 1 species